CCAGACAGAGGCCAGCAACAGUUUUUUGUCAAUUGUCGUACUUUAUUUCAUCACUAAAUCCACUUCUGAGAAGUUUUGAGGUUUUCGGAGUUGAGGAGCUCCGCAAGUGACGGCGGGGGCCUGUGGCAACGCACGGGAGAAGCUCGCGAGGCCGUCUGUUCCCACAGUCACACAGACCGCUGCAGCAACAACGGCAGAGGAAAACGCAGCCGUAAGGAAAGAGGUGACUUCAUAUCAGCAGUAUCUGGAGAAAGAGGAAUCCGCAUCUCAUGCCUGACCCUUGGACCUCUGAGGAUUCAUGUGUCAGCUGAAUAGUUACAGCGGAUGACGUCAACGGGACAAAAUGUUCAGGGACUGAUAGAUGAAUGAGGAUAACCCUCUGGUGUGGUAAUAUUAUGUCAUUAAAAUAAUGUUGCAAUAUUACUUGACUAUGCAGUUCAUGCUCUCGUUCCCCAAACCACUGGCGCUAGGGAUGGAAAUGUUGGUUUGUUGGUCCACUGUUUUCUUGUUCUUGUUCUUGUUUUGUCAAUAACUUUUAGUCCUUAAGUUCAUUAUAGUUUUCACUUAUCCAGAAAAAAAUAACUUUGUAUCUACUGUAUGAAUUGCCACAUAAUUUGGUACAGACGUUCAUGGUUCCCGACAAUUUAUUGCAAUAACUUUGGUGAUUCCUCUAGCUCCACCAUGAGACAUUUGUGGUUUUAAUGAAAAUGUCUCAACAAUUAUUGGAUGGGUUGCCAUGAAAUUUGGUACGGACAUUUCUGUUCCUCUCAGGAUUUAUUGUACUAACUUUGGUGAUCUCCUGAUGUCUCAUUUAGGUAAACAUUUUACAUUUUACAUGUCCAAUAUUUUGGUUCAAUGUUACAAUGCUGAUGUUAGCAUUUAGCUCAAAACACUGCUGUGCUUGA